AACGAACGCUGGCGGCAGGCUUAACACAUGCAAGUCGAACGCCCCGCAAGGGGAGUGGCAGACGGGUGAGUAACGCGUGGGAACGUGCCCUUCGCUUCGGAAUAGCCCCGGGAAACUGGGAGUAAUACCGAAUACGCCGUAUUGGGAAAGAUUUAUCGGCGAAGGAUCGGCCCGCGUUGGAUUAGCUAGUUGGCGGUGUAAUGGACCACCAAGGCUACGAUCCAUAGCUGGUCUGAGAGGAUGAUCAGCCACACUGGGACUGAGACACGGCCCAGACUCCUACGGGAGGCAGCGGUGGGGAAUCUUGGACAAUGGGCGCAAGCCUGAUCCAGCCAUGCCGCGUGAGUGAAGAAGGCCUUAGGGUUGUAAAACUCUUUCGCCGGAGAAGAUAAUGACGGUAUCCGGAGAAGAAGCCCCGGCUAACUUCGUGCCAGCAGCCGCGGUAACAC
rnacentral:rRNA from 1 species